CCUACGGGUGGCAGCAGUGGGGAAUAUUGCACAAUGGGGGGAACCCUGAUGCAGCGACGCCGCGUGGGUGAGGAAGUACCUCGGUAUGUAAAGCCCUAUCAGCAGGGAAGAAAAUGACGGUACCUGACUAAGAAGCCCCGGCUAACUACGUGCCAGCAGCCUUGGGUAAAUGGAGGGGGCAAGCGUUAUCCGGAUUUACUGGGUGUAAAGGGAGCGUAGUCGGUGUGCCAAGUCUGAUGGUAAAGGACGGGGUUCAACCCCGGGAAUGCAUUGGACACUGGCCUGCUGGAGUGCCGGAGGGGCAGGCGGAAUUCCUAGAGUAGCGGUGAAAUGCGUAGAUAUUAGGAAGAACACCGAUGGCGAAGGCAGCUUGCUGGACGGUAACUGACGUUGAGGCUCGAAAGCGUGGGGAGCAAACAGGAUUAGAUACCCCAGUAGUC
rnacentral:rRNA from 1 species